UACAGAGGUCUCAAGCGUUGUUCGGAUUCAUUGGGCGUAAAGGGUGCGUAGGUGGCGGGGUAAGUCAGGUGUGAAAUCUCGGAGCUCAACUCCGAAACUGCACUUGAUACUGCCUUGCUGGAGUACUGGAGAGGAGAUUGGAAUUUACGGUGUAGCAGUGAAAUGCGUAGAUAUCGCAAGGAAGACCAGUGGCGAAGGCGAAUCUCUGGACAGUUACUGACACUGAGGCACGAAAGCGUGGGGAGCAAACAGG
rnacentral:rRNA from 1 species